UACGUAGGGUGCAAGCGUUAAUCGGAAUUACUGGGCGUAAAGCGCUCGUAGGCGGUUUGUCGCGUCUGCCGUGAAAGUCCGGGGCUCAACUCCGGAUCUGCGGUGGGUACGGGCAGACUAGAGUGAUGUAGGGGAGACUGGAAUUCCUGGUGUAGCGGUGAAAUGCGCAGAUAUCAGGAGGAACACCGAUGGCGAAGGCAGGUCUCUGGGCAUUAACUGACGCUGAGGAGCGAAAGCAUGGGGAGCGAACAGG
rnacentral:rRNA from 1 species